rnacentral:rRNA from 1 species
CAUUAAGUGCAGGAAAAGAAACCAAAUGGGAUUCCCCCAGUAACGGCGAGUGAAGUGGGAUGAGCUCAGCACCGAAGCCGGCGGUCGAGAGGCCGUCGUGCAAUGUGGUGUUCGGGAGGGCUCAGUCCGUGUCCGGCGUCGGUCCAAGUCUCCUGGAAAGGAGUUCCGUGGAGGGUGACAGGCCCGUGCGACCGAUCGCCGCGUUCGCGGACGAGUCCUCCUUCGAGUCGGGUUGCUCGCUAAUGCAGCCCUAAGCAGGUGGUAAGCUCCAUCUAAAGCUAAAUAUAACCACGAGUCCGAUAGUCAACAAGUACAGUGAUGGAAAGUUGAAAAGUACUCUGAAGAGAGAGUCAAAUAGCCCGUGAAGCUGCCAGUAUGGGAUUAAGCGCACGUGUGACGCGUGUCGUCGGACAAAUAGGCGCUCGUCGGCUGCCGCACGGCGCGCGUCGGCAUCGGAAACGGUGUCGGCGCGCGUCGCUGUCGGGCGGUCGGCGGCACGCCUCCCUUUGUUCGGCAUCGACAGGUCGGGGCUUCGUUGUCCGGUCUUAUUGCCGGUCGUUAUUCGAGAGCCGUACUCGGCCGGCGCCGUCCUCGGACGUGUGCCGGUGCUCCGCGGAAUGUGCGCCUCGUGCGGCCGCGGCGGGUCUGGUCUCGGUGUGACGCGACCGAUUGGCGAACGACUGGGCGACGGCCAGCGCAAAUCGACGUUUCGUCGGCUCGGCCUUUGCGUCGUCACGUGCGGCCCGUCUUGAAACACGGACCAAGGAGUCUAACAUGUGAGCGAGCGAUUGAGAUUGUCGAAUCUCAAACGCGCAAUGAAAGUGAAGUGUCGUCUGACGGCACGAGCGGAGAUCCGUCGUCACUCGUGGCGGCGGCGCACCCGCGGGCCACGCCAUCGGCUGGCUUGCUCUUCUGAGCACUGCUGAGGCGUGGACCUAGAGCCCACACGUUGGGACCCGAAAGAUGGUGAACUAUGCCUGGCCAGGAUGAAGCCAGAGGAAACUCUGGUGGAGGUCCGCCGCGAUUCUGACGUGCAAAUCGAUCGUCUGAGCUGGGUAUAGGGGCGAAAGACCAAUCGAACCAUCUAGUAGCUGGUUCCGCCCGAAGUUUCCCUCAGGAUAGCUGGCGCUCGUGUGAUACGGAGUUUCAUCCGGUAAAGCGAAUGAUCAGAGGAGCUGGGCUCCUUGCGAGCUCAACCUAUUCUCAAACUUUCAAUGGGUGAGACGUCUCGCUGGCUUCACUGCAGCGACGACUCUGAAUCCGAGUGCCCAGUGGGCCACUUUUGGUAAGCAGAACUGGCGAUGCGGGAUGAACCGCAUGUCGAGUUAAGGUGCCUAAGCGGACGCAAAUCAGAUACCAUGAAAGGUGUUGAUUGCUCACGACAGCAGGACGGUGGCCAUGGAAGUCGGCAUCCGCUAAGGAGUGUGUAACAACUCACCUGCCGAAGCAAUCAGCCCUGAAAAUGGAUGGCGCUAAAGCGUUCCACCGAUACUCGACCGUCGUCGGCAGGCGACGUGCAUGCCACGUCUCAAGCCACGACGAGUAGGGCGGCGCGGCGGUGAGCGUCGAAGGCGUAGCCGUGAGGCUAGCUGGAGCCGCCGUCGGUGCAGAUCUUGGUGGUAGUAGCAAAUACACAAGCAAGAUCCUUGUGGACCGAUGUGGAGAAGGGUUCCGCGCGAACAGUACUUGGACGUGGGUGAGUCGGCCCUAAGCCAACGGGUAAUUCCCGCAUCCCGUGUUUGUCGCAUUUAUAUCGAAUAACAUGGGUUGAU